GGAAACUGAGGAUCCUGUACCCAGACGUACUGCUGUUGAACUACAGAAAUGCUCUCAGAAUGUGAUUCCUGUUUCUACGACAUCCAGAAGACAGUUGCUUUCUCUUUGUAGAAGCAAAAGAUCAGAGGAGGAAACUAUCAACAGAAGGACAUGAAAAUACACUUUAAAUUAUUUUUUCAUAUAAAUGGGUUUUGAAUAUAGUAAUAACUUCCUGGGAAACAAGAAGGCUUAAGGAGUUAUCAUGAACAAUGCAGUCAAUGCCUCUUCUGGGUGUUUAACAGAAAAAAGAACUUGUUCAGCUGCACAUGAGAAGUCCUUAUAUGAGACUGCUAGAGUAAGAGGAAAGGAUCUUUCUCAGAGGCAGAGGGUGCAGAUGACCUCAUGCUGA
rnacentral:lncRNA from 1 species